UCAGUCUGACUUAACCUAAACAUACAAACUCGCACUCUCAAGGUUUCUGAAAAAAAAAAAAAAAAAAAAAAAAAAAAAAAAAGAAGAAGAAGUAAAAAACUCUCACUCCCACUCUCACUUACAUCAGCGGCAAAGGACUUUCGUCGGCGGUGACCUCUCAGUCUCAUCUCUCUCACUGUUUCUGCACUCAAUCGCAGUGUGAGGUUACAGAGGCUUUUAUUUCCAAGCCCUUCACUCCGGUCCAAGAUAUGGACCCACAUGGAGCAAGACCCGUUAUACGGACUUUGUUGACGAGGCAGGAUGAGCAUCGUUCAAGUUUGCUUUGGGAUGCUCAUUUGGAAGGCGAGGAAGUGCCAGGUGUAUUGACUUGUCGUUACCGAGACAAAGGUCUGCUUGAAGGUGGGGUAGAUGGGUUAGAUCCAUGAAUUGUCACUUAUAUCACAAAUGAGGGGUUAGAUGGGCUGCUUCGGGUCCCACAUAUGGACAUUGACCACGCAUUGAUCACAGCGUUGGUGGAGAAAUGGCGGCCGGAGACGCACUCAUUUCACUUGCCCCACGGUGAGAUGACCAUCACACUACAAGAUAUGGAGGUUAUAAUGGGGGUACCUGUAGAUGGCUUGCCGUUGGUGGGAUGUAUACCUCCGACGGUCAGUUGGCGUGACGUCUGCUGUAGAUUGCUAGGGCAUAUACCGCCAGAUAGAGAACUUGUUCAUAAUAAGAACACUGGAGUGAUGGAAGGGGCGAGGGUAAAAGCCAAAUGGCUGGAGGAUCGGUUUAGCAACCCUCUCCCGGUUGACGCCCCUGAGCAGCUUGUGUAGAAGUAUGCUCGGUUUUACAUAGUGGAGUUGUUAGGUGGUACAUUAUUUAUGGACAAGUCUGGAGAACGGAUCUCAAUUAGGUAUUUGCAAUUUUUCGAUCCAAUCAACAACGGAAAGAAGUAUAGUUGGGGUAGUGCAGCACUAAGUUGGCUUUAUAGACACCUCUGUAAGGCAUCAGAGAAGACAGCCAAGCAGAUUGGGGGUGCACUGCUAUUGGUGCAGUUGUGGACGUGAGCGAGGUUUCCCCACAUAUGUCCUGUGAUGAGGCAUCCACACCAGGCACUGCCUCCAGGUCCACUUGCUGUCAGAUGGAAAGGGGCUAAGAUAACAACUUAACAUUCAAUGCACGUCCUACGUGCCUAUCGUGUGUCGCUUACUUCACUACGGCCAAAUCAGAUUGUUUGGGAGCCGUACAGAAAUUAUUUGGGUUCUCUACCCGCAUAUUGUAUGACAGGCCAACACAUAUGGAGGUCUAUUGUGCCGCUCAUACAUUUUUGGGUGGUUGAAGGCCAUCAUCCCGAACGUGUUCUCCGACAGUUUGGGAUGAAGCAAGGCAUAUCAGUCGAUGUUGAUACUUCAAUUGAACUGCACAAGAUCACCCUCCAGGGCAAGCACCAUGAAGAUUGGCCGAAGUACAUGCCCUGCAUAUUGCUAAAUGAGCUGCGCACGCCACAAUUGCCGAUGCACCGGCUUUUCAUGGGGAGAUGAGCUACAAUGACGAGUAUAUGGUAUGAUUUCAUCCCCGCACUGUUCGCCAUAUUACAAAAGAGACUUCGUACUAGGACACUUUGGUUGAAUCGUAGUUGAGCAUUAUAGCGAAGUGCGAACUAGGGUUUGAGAUCUACACUGACUGUAUUAAUGCCUUGCAAGCUGUUGAAGAGAUCGGUCGGUUAACCUUGGACUAUGCACGUGAUGUGGGCAACAGAAGUGAACCGGCUGUACGACAUGGUCGGCAAGCAGGUGGACGUCAAGGGCAUGGAGGCCGUCAAUCUAGCCAGCGUCAUACAUCUAGUCGGCCUCCCACAUCUGGUCAGCGUCACACACCGGUGCCCACAUCUAGUCGACGUCCCACAUCUGCUCAGCGUCCUACAUCUGGUUCGCGCCACACACCCGUGCCCACAUCUAGUCGACGUCACACACCCGUGCCCACAUCUACUCGGCGCCACACACCCGUGUAUGACCACAUCAUGGAGGAAGCAAGUCAGACAACAGAUGAGAUGUGUUUAGACACUGCUUAUGACGUAGGCUCCAUGGCACACGAUGAUGUGGGUCCAUCCCAUAUGUUUGCCCAUGGAGACACAUCUGGGUCCCCAUCCAUGAGGAGUGAUGGCACUUGCCCACCCACAUCCCCUAGUACAUCUCCGUUGCCCACCACCUGUACGUCUCCCCCACUGACUGCCAGCCCUGCCCCCGCAGUUGUACAUGGUAGAGAUGAGAUGAGAUGAGGUUCAUGCCCACUCCUGGGCGACCCACCCCUAUUGCUGUCCCCCCUGAGUUUGUGCAUACCGAGUUCAUCCAGACACAGAUACCCACCUCCCCCCCCCCCCCACCAGAGCCUUCGCACAUCGAGGAUCGGCCACGAAGGUCGCAACGCACACGGACACAUCCUCCUGACUGUGGGACUGGACAUGGCAAGGUGAGACUAGUCAAGGAACCGGUAAGGAGAAGAAAACGAGAAUGAUUCAAGAAUGGGCAAGAAUUUGUGCUACUUUGGGUUUGUAAUGGUGUAGGAUCUUUUUGUCAUGUAUAGGAUCUUCUUGUUCUUUGGUGAUAUAUUUUUUGUAGCACAUAUAUUUUGGCAAUGAACAUGAAGAUUUGGGCUUACAAUCUGAUAUAUUUUUUGUUCGUAACUUGCAAAAUUAUGCCAAUGAACUUCAGAAAUUUCCAUUUGAGAUCUAUAGAAUAACUUAUAUAAGUUAUUUUUCAGUUGCAUAACUGUUUUUUUGCUAGUAAAUUUAGGAAAAGGUGGUAUUUGGCCAAAAGGUAGUCAUGUCUACAAUAAAAACUGAGAUACACUUGAGCUCAAGGAAAAAACCCCUUCAUAUAACAUUCUUUUUGGAUUGAUUCAUUUGCUAUAUUAAAUUUUUAAAUUUUGUCAUUGAUUUAAGCCUAAAUUGUGAGGGGCAGGACUUGUCAUUGAUUUGAGUUCCAUUGUGAUGCUUGUUGCUGACUCUCGAUUGAGAUUCAUUAUUGUGCAAUAUUUGAAUUUCUAUGUGUGUGUGUGUAUUUGGCAGGUUGAAUUUGACAGGUUCUAUAUGUGUGUGUGGAACAGAAAAAUUGGGAGGUUCUAUAUGUGUGUGUAUGUAUUUGGCAGGUUGAAUUUGACAGGUUCUAUAUGUGUGUGUGGAUCAGAAAAAUUGACAGGUUCUAUAUGUGUGUAUGUAUUUGGCAGGUUGUUUGGAAUAGUUGUUGAAUUUGACAAAAAAAAUAAAUAAAUAAAAGUUUGUUGGAAAGAAAUGAUAAAGGCCAGGGAAAGAUAUUUGACAGGUUCUUUUUAAAAAAAAAAAAUUUUGGUAGUGAUUGUACUUUGAACCCUUCCAAUGCUAAUGCUCUAAGGCACGUCCUCUAAUCUCCCAAUCCUUUUGAACUUUUGAUCCAAGAUACAGAAAGUGAUUGUACUUUGGUUGGUUGGGAUGAGUCAACAGCAGGUGAGAGGCAGCCAAGGGUAUCUUUAUGGGGAAUUGAACCUUUAACAACUCUCCCCAUCGCAAGAAGUUUGCAUCUGGAAAAAUAAUUAACUUGAUGACAACUGAUGCCCAGGCACUUCAGAUUUUCUCUCUUACCAUUUGCAUUAUGUGUACAAAACCUAAUUCAGUUCAAUGCUGAGUAAGUCUAUUCAUACUACCCUAUAUCCUCUUCUAUUCUCUUAUAUUUGUAAUGGGUGAGAGAAUUCCUGGUAUGAAUGCUUAAUUGGAUGCCAUUGUGUAUCCAAAAAAAAAAAAAAAAUUUGGAUGCCAUUGAAGGAAUAUAUAAAUGCUGCAAUUUCGUUUAAUGGCUUUUGAAAUUAAACCCAGAUUGGUACCCGAGUUUAGUGGAUGUUAGGUUUAUGAUUUUACUUAUUUUGUGUUUCUGCUGUAUCUGAUGGUUAUUUGCAUCCUCUAUGAAUGUUUUCCCGUAGAUGUAAAGAAGUUGUUGUCAUUAUUUCAGAGGGUGGUGGUUUUUGUUGAGGUUGGGGUUUUUGGUUGUAAUCUCAUGCAUUGGAGUUCAGGUGGUGGCUAAUGCUGCUUCUUUUGGAGUGGCAUUUGAGUUUCGCGCUUUAAAGCUUGAAUCUUUUUGAGCUUUGGUUUCAUGGGUUAAAAGGGAUUGCCCUGCUUACUUUAUAUUAUUUGUGGGUUUUAUGCCUUUGAGUAGCUUUGUUGUACUUGAGGGUGUUAUUAUUGGAAAUGGGGUCUUGCUAAUGGGUGGUUUUGUUAUUGAUGGAGGAUCUUUAAUUGUUUCAAUUUUGGCAUUGUUUUGGGCUUUGCUAUGCCUUCAUUGAGAUAUCAUUGGUGGGUGUUAAGGAAGUAAUGCCAUAAUUGCCAAGAGUUUGUGACAGUUAUACAAUAAGAAAUGCUAUAUACAUUUAUUUCUUCCCUAAAUUUUAAAGAGAUUCUGCUAUUGGAGGCUUUAGUGUUCUCAUCAUGACCAGAGCUGUCCGCGAUAGGAUUCUUAAGGAUGCGAAUGGUGAUAUCGGUGAUCAUCUAUGUAACCACAUACAUUUGACGAAUUGUAUUCACUUGAAGAAUCAUAUACACAAGAAUAGCCCCAUAGUAGCAGAUAGGUCUCUUAUGAGGGACCUUGUGGUCCUACAGAGGUCAAGAUCUCUCAGGGACCCUUCUGCAAGUCCUCCCUCAUGGCACUCACCUUCCAUUGUCGAGUGGAAGUUUAGGCAUAUUUUUCGAGGACAGCCAAAACGGCAUCUUCUUACUACAGGCUGGAGCGUGUUUGUUAGUGCCAAAAGACUUGUUGCAGGGGAUUCUGUUCUCUUUAUCUGGAAUGAAAAAAAUCAGCUUCUUUUGGGAAUUCGCCAUGCCACUCGUCCUCAAACUGUGAUGCCACCAUCUGUUUUAUCAAGUGAUAACAUGCAUAAUGGACUCCUAGCUGCCGCUGCUCAUGCUGCUUCAACUAAUAGCUGUUUUACAGUUUUUUAUAACCCACGGGCUAGUCCAUCUGAGUUUGUCGUGCCCCUUUCAAAAUAUGUUAAAGCUGUAUUUCACACACGAGUAUCAGUUGGGAUGCGCUUCCGGAUGCUCUUUGAGACUGAAGAGUCAAGUGUCAGAAGUCCAUGAAAUUUCACAUCUUUGGAGACAUAGUGAAUACUUGACUAAAUAAUUAAAUUCAAAGGUCGUUACUUUAGCUGGGGAAGAGCCAUUAAUAGGUUUAGUACCUCUGUUGCUAUUGAGGAACCAAUACGACCAACUGUUCAAAUAGAUUAUACUCAACUUCUCAUCAAUGGACAAUUUGUUGAUGCUGCAUCAGGAAAAACUUUUCCGACAGUGGAUCCUAGGACAGGAGAAGUGAUUGCCCAUGUUGCUGAAGGUGACACUGAAGAUGUAAACCGUGCUGUCUCAGCUGCCCGCAAGGCGUCUGAUGAGGGACCAUGGCCAAAGAUGACUCCUUAUGUAAAAUUUUUGUUCUUUCAAUUUAUAGUUAGAUUAGAUGUUGUUGGGAAAUUCUGUUCUAAGCAAUCUUAGUGAAAAUAGAGAGAAGAGAGAAAAUCAAUUUACAGAUUUACAUUAUAUGGCAGUAUGCCUACAUCCCCAGGAAUAAGCGGCUAAUAAUUCUACUCUGUCACUAUUUGAUUGCACACGUUUUCAUCACCUCUUUUUUGGUGUGUUAAUUGGGGGAUGUUGCUGCAUAUAAAAGAUUCAACUUAUCUUAAAUUCUAACUCUUUGUUUAAUAUGUCCAAGAAAGAUCACGUAUAAUAUAUCGUUUUGCUGAUUUACUGGAAAAGCACAGAAAUGAAGUUGCAGCACUUGAAACUUGGGAUAAUGGGAAGCCAUCUGAACAGGCUGCCAAUGUUGAAAUACCAUUGGUGAUACGAACAUUUCGAAGACUGCAGAGCUAACACCAUUGUCUGCUCUUUAUGUGUCAAAGCUAUUCCUUGAGGUAGAAUUAUGAUGCAUACUUCUCCAUGGGUGCAUGUAUAAGUUUAUUUAUUUAUUUUAUAUAUCCAAGUUCUUUGAUGUACGGCCUAGGUUAUUGUAUCUCAUAUCAGUGUAAUACAAAAGGUGGUUAUAUUAUACAUGAGCAAAUAGCUUACUUUGCCUUGUAUGAAAAAUUCUUUUACUUGGUGGUAAUUCAAAUCAGUCUCUUCAUUGCUAUGA